CAUCAAUCCACUUCCAUCUCCCACCUUCAGCUCUCAGGCCAAACCAGUAUCCAUCAGUUCCUGAACUACCCACGCUGUAUUUAUUGAGAGCAGUCUGACAAGAGAGAAAUACAGGGGAGAUUGCAAAG